rnacentral:rRNA from 1 species
AUUGAACGCUGGCGGCAGGCCUAACACAUGCAAGUCGACCGCGUGGCGGACGGGUGAGUACUGUCUGGGAAACUGCCUGAUGGAGGGGGAUAACUUGUGGAAAGGGUAGCUAAUCCCGCAUACCAUCGGAUGUGCCCAGCUGGGAUUAGCUAGGAGGUGGGGUAAAGGCUCACCUAGGCGACGCUCCCUAGCUGGUCUGAGAGGAUGAACAGCCACACUGGAACUGAGACACGGUCCAGACUCCUACGGGAGGCAGCAGUGGGGAAUAUUGCACAAUGGGCGCAAGCCUGAUGCAGCCAUGCCGCGUGUGUGAAGAAGGCCUUCGGGUUGUAAAGUACUUUCAGCGGGGAGGCGUUACCCGCAGAAGAAGCACCGGCUAACUCCGUGCCAGCCGCCGCGGUAAUAC